GGAAGAUUCACUUUGACUUCAGUUCUGGGAUAACUCAGACAAACUUCACUCUGACAGGAGAAAAAAAAAAAAUCAGAGAAAACUGCUUCAUCUUAAACAGCCUGGAGCAGAGGAUUCCCAAGGCAAACAGUCCCAAAAGGGGGCCACCGAUCAUGCCAAAAAUGCUGAGCGCUGCCUGAGGAAGGAAGAGAGUCUGCUAUCAGGUGCUGUGCAAGAAAGUUAAAGCCUCCAACAUGAGAGGGAUUUGAAGUACGGUCUAAUGAGGUCUUCAACAGUCACGGCAGCCAGAGCAUUGAUGCUGGAGGACACAGUACUACAGAAGGCAAGAUUUAUACAAUUUUUUUAUCUUAGAAGCUGGAAUCGUAGAUAACAGAUGGGUUACUGGCAGAGAGAAACUGCCACUGUCUAGAACAGUGUCAGAAAACUAAUUUAACUGCUGUAUUGGUUGAAAUAACUUAGUAAUCCAGGUGACGCAGUUAACAGCUUACAAAAGUUUUUUUAAAAUAAUUGCUCUUAGUGAAGACAAGGCAAAUCCUGAUGCAAAGACAGGCCUGGAGAAGUCAAUGAAAAUAUCUAUUACAUGUGGCUAAGCUGUAAACACUACUGGUAUAUGUGAUACCUUCACAAAUGAUCUACACAGUAUAUAUCUGGGUAGGUAAAAUUCCUACAUGCUGGUCACUGAUUACUUUGAAUGCACUCUCAGAGGAGGAUUCAGAUAAUCUAAUUAUAGUCAUCUAAAAAUUAGGCAUCUAGUCCAAACCGAACUAUUCCAGGCUCCCUAUGGGGUCAGAAAAACCAGCACUCCUAAGGCACAAAGCCAGUCAGGUGAUCUCGUGUCUGUAUGUACCUUGCUCUCACAAGCCACCACCUUUUCCUCAGUGUGAAAAACAAAUAUCCUGGCUGUUGCCUCUAUUUGUGUAGCUACAAGUACUCAGAACAAAAAAAUUAUUCUGGUGUCACAUUCUUAAGUUUCCUCAUUUUUAUCUGCUUACUACUGUUCAGAGCCUUCCUCGAGAGAGGUGAUGUUUCUGAAAAAGAUGCUCCUUGGGAAAGCUGAACAAAACACUCCCCACUAUGGGAUAGAAGGGGAUUGAUUUGUCUCCUUCAGUAAAAAUACAGAGUGAUUGCUGUUUUCAUGGGGUUCAUUUGAGACAAUUGGAAGUCCAGGAACUCUUUUGUAAACAAGACUCUAAAGAUCAGGGAUGAGGAAAGGGAGAUGGCUUUAAAGUUAUGCAGGUUUGAAACUGGAAAAUUAAAGAUGAGCAGUAGGAAAUUCUCCCAAACUGUAGCUCUUUUAUGUAAACACCCAUUUAUAAUACUUAAAAAUUCCUAUAGCAGAGGGGCUUUAAAAGCACAGAGAGGAGCAUUUGUUAGAGCCGUACGUUGCGUGUGACUAGCUGUUUCCUCAUGUUGCUAGUAGGGAACUCCAAAGAGCUUUGAGUCCUAGGACCUCAGAGAGCUACUGUUAGAAACUAUGGAUUUUUAAGCUGCAUCAGCAAAGAUCUUAUAGUGCUUUUUUUUAAAUUAGCUAGACAAAGAAAUGAAAUGCAAAAGUGUUAUUAUAAAAGCAACUUUAGCUGUAACGAAAAAGACACUAGGUUCCAGAUUAUUAAAUUACCUUAAUGUCCCACUGUAGGCACUAGCCACAAAAAGCCCUGGCACUCCUGGAAAAUCGUGGAGAAUGUCCAGCACUAGGUAUGGCAUUAGCUGAAAAAUCC